UGCCAGACUCCUACGGGAGGCAGCAGUGAGGAAUAUUGGUCAAUGGACGAGAGUCUGAACCAGCCAAGUAGCGUGAAGGAUGACUGCCCUAUGGGUUGUAAACUUCUUUUAUAUGGGGAUAAAAUGUUCCACGUGUGGGAUUUUGUAUGUACCAUAUGAAUAAGGAUCGGCUAACUCCGUGCCAGCAGCCGCGGUAAUACGGAAGGUCCGGGCGUUAUCCGGAUUUAUUGGGUUUAAAGGGAGCGUAGGCCGGCUUUUAAGUCAGCUGUGAAAGUCCGCGGCUCAACCGUGGAAUUGCAGUUGAAACUGGAGGCCUUGAGUGCACACAGGGAUGCCGGAAUUCAUGGUGUAGCGGUGAAAUGCUUAGAUAUCAUGAAGAACUCCGAUCGCGAAGGCAAGUGUCCGGGGUGCAACUGACGCUGAGGCUCGAAAGUGCGGGUAUCAAACAGGAUUAGAUACCCUAGUAC
rnacentral:rRNA from 1 species